rnacentral:rRNA from 1 species
GACGAACGCUGGCGGCGUGCCUAAUACAUGCAAGUCGAACGCUUCUUUCCUCCCGAGUGCUUGCACUCAAUUGGAAAGAGGAGUGGCGGACGGGUGAGUAACACGUGGGUAACCUACCCAUCAGAGGGGGAUAACACUUGGAAACAGGUGCUAAUACCGCAUAACAGUUUAUGCCGCAUGGCAUAAGAGUGAAAGGCGCUUUCGGGUGUCGCUGAUGGAUGGACCCGCGGUGCAUUAGCUAGUUGGUGAGGUAACGGCUCACCAAGGCCACGAUGCAUAGCCGACCUGAGAGGGUGAUCGGCCACACUGGGACUGAGACACGGCCCAGACUCCUACGGGAGGCAGCAGUAGGGAAUCUUCGGCAAUGGACGAAAGUCUGACCGAGCAACGCCGCGUGAGUGAAGAAGGUUUUCGGAUCGUAAAGCUCUGUUGUUAGAGAAGAACAAGGACGUUAGUAACUGAACGUCCCCUGACGGUAUCUAACCAGAAAGCCACGGCUAACUACGUG